GAAACUUAAAGGAAUUGGCGGGGGAGCACUACAACGGGUGGAGCCUGCGUUUUAAUUGGACUCAACGCCGGAAAACUCACCGGGGGCGACAGCAACAUGUAGGUCAAGCUAAAGACUUUACCUGAAUCGCUGAGAGGAGGUGCAUGCCGUCGUCAGUUCGUACUGUGAAGCAUCCUGUUAAGUCAGGCAACGAGCGAGACCCGUGCCCAUUGUUGCCAGCAUGUCCUUCGGAAUGAUGGGUACUCUGUGGGGACCGCUGGUGCUAAACCAGAGGAAGGUGCGGGCUACGGUAGGUCAGUAUGCCCCGAAUCUCCCGGGCUACACGCGGGCAACAAUGGCUGGGACAUUGGGUCCUUACACCGAAAGGGGAUGGUAAUCUCUUAAACCCAGCCGUAGUUCGAAUCGAGGACUGUACCUCGUCCCCCGGGAAGCUGGGAAUCCGUAGUAAUCGCGUUUCAACCAUAGCGGGGGGGAAUACGUCCCUGCCUCCUUGCACACACCCGCCCGUCAAACCACCCGAGUGAGGGUAUGGGUUGAGGGCACGGAUUUUGGUGCCGUGUUCGAACCUAAAUUUCGCAAAGGGGGGUUAAGUCGUAACAA
rnacentral:rRNA from 1 species